GACGAACGCUGGCGGCGUGCCUAAUACAUGCAAGUCGAACGCAGUGGGGACGGGUGAGUAACACGUGGGUAACCUCCCAUCAGAGGGGCUCACACUUGGAAACAGGUGCUCCACCGAUACUGCUGGAUGGACCCGCGUUGCCUUAGCUAGUUGGUGAGGUAACGGCUCACCAAGGCCACGAUGCAUCGCCGACCUGCAAGGGUGAGUGGCCACCGUGGGACUGAGGCACGGCCCAGACUCCUACGUGAGGCGGCAGUAGGGAAUCGUCGGCGAUGGAGGAAAGUCUGACCGGGCAACGCCGCGUGAGUGAAGACGGUUGUCGGAUCGUAAAACUCUGUUGUUAGAGAAGCGGUAUCUAACCAGAAAGCCACGGCUAACUACGUGCCAGCAGCCGCGGUAAUUG
rnacentral:rRNA from 1 species